AAGCAGCUAAACACACAAAAAUACGCCUAAAAAAUCUGAAAAAACCAGCAGCGCGGUUUUUCAUAUACACGACCCCACCCCUCCCCUGUCCUUCAUCUUCUUCAUCAACUUGUAGGCAGCCAUCAACUCCAAUUCCAACAACAACAUCACAGCAGCCCUUCACCAGCUCAACGAACACAGCCGUCUUCCCCAAACACCCUCGCCCUAGAAGUCAGUUGCCAAGCUUCACCACGAUUCCGCAGAAAUUCGUCCCACCCAAAACACCACCCCUUUUGCGCCAAAAGCCAGCAGUGAGAAGCUCCAUGACUAGUCAAAAAUCUGGCCAAAAAGAAGUCGAAACUCAACCAAAAAAACAGCAACGAAAAGGUACCAAACAGUCCCAAAAUUAGCUCUAAACCCCAGCGAAAAGCAGCCCUGUUUUCUAGUUGAAACUCAAAAUCAGCCCGAAAUCAUCAUCCAAAAUCGUGUCGAUCUGAGUCCGUCCGAGGCGGCGAGCCGUUGGUGCUUCCGGGUCGGGAUGCGGGUGCAAAUCCGGUUUCGUUAUUGGAAGGGCAGAAUUGCAAUGAUGCUGUGAACAAGUUGGCACGCUAGUUCUCAUAAGCUUGUUGUUGAGUUGCAUUGACGACUUGAGGUGUAGGAGACAGGCUGACGGUCCCCCUUCUUAGGAUCCUUGCUCAGGGAGAGUUGGUGUGCUCCAUUUAAGCCGGAGCUGCUAUUAGAUUUUGUUUUGUGCAGAUCCAGGUGCCUCAGAUCAUGGUAGGCACUAGAGAAUCGAGUCAGAGUUGUGGAGACUUCAAGGUAUACGUGAUAUUCCGCUCGCAAGCAUCUGAGUCACCUUUUAUUGUUUCCUUAUUGCUGUUUAUUGUAUUCCAAAAGUGUUGUAUUUUGUUUCUUAUGUACUCUUUAUAGAGCUUAUGACUCUGUAUUACGAGUUCUGGUAUGUAUGACUAAUGUAUUUUCGUUUUGGUCAAGUUAUGGUACUUUU